rnacentral:rRNA from 1 species
CCUACGGGUGGCAGCAGUGGGGAAUAUUGGGCAAUGGGCGCAAGCCUGACCCAGCAACGCCGCGUGAAGGAAGAAGGCUUUCGGGUUGUAAACUUCUUUUCUCAGGGACGAAGAAAGUGACGGUACCUGAGGGAUAAGCCACGGCUAACUACGUGCCAGCAGCCGCGGUAAUACGUAGGUGGCAAGCGUUAUCCGGAUUUAUUGGGUGUAAAGGGCGUGUAGGCGGGAGCGCACGUCAGAUGUGAAAACUCAGGGCUCAACCCUGAGCCUGCAUUUGAAACUGUGUUUCUUGAGUGCUGGAGAGGCAAUCGGAAUUCCGGGUGUAGCGGUGAAAUGCGUAGAUAUACGGAGGAACACCAGUGGCGAAGGCGGAUUGCUGGACAGUAACUGACGCUGAGGCGCGAAAGCGUGGGGAGCAAACAGGAUUAGAUACCCUUGUAGUC